ensembl:lincRNA
AACUGAUAUUUCUAUUGUGCAUGCAUUUCCCAGGUUCAUGUCUCAAGUAUAAAAAAAGAAAAUGUGCUACUCAAUCCAAAAAGUCUACUGCCCGCCAUUCCCAGUCUGUCAGACGUCGCAAAAUCACCAUGUGGCCAAGGAAGAGGAAGGGCCGUCAAAUGUCCCCAAGCAACUCUUCUUCUUUGGAAGCUCCCCUGGAAGACCUGGUGGAGGACCCUCUUCGUGACAGGGAGGAUGAAGUGGUUCCACCUAAUGUUGAGGUAAGGUCAUCUGUUUUGGUCUAAGAUAGAAAUACUCCUUUCUCCU